rnacentral:rRNA from 1 species
UACGGAGGGUGCAAGCGUUAUCCGGAUUCACUGGGUUUAAAGGGUGCGUAGGAGGGCAGGUAAGUCAGUGGUGAAAUCUCCGAGCUUAACUUGGAACUGCCGUUGAUACUAUCUGCCUUGAAUAUUGUGGAGGUGAGCGGAAUAUGUCAUGUAGCGGUGAAAUGCUUAGAUAUGACAUAGAACACCAAUUGCGAAGGCAGCUCGCUACACAUAUAUUGACUCUGAGGCACGAAAGCGUGGGGAUCAAACAGG